rnacentral:rRNA from 1 species
AUUGAACGCUGGCGGCAUGCUUUACACAUGCAAGUCGAACGGCAGCGCGGGCUUCGGCCUGGCUGCUAGUGGCGAACGGGUGAGUAAUGCAUCGGAACGUGCCCAGUAGUGGGGGAUAGCCCGGCGAAAGCCGGAUUAAUACCACAUACGACCUGAGGGUGAAAGCGGGAGAGCGAAAGACCUCUCGCUAUGUUAGCGGCCGAUGUCGGAUUAGCUAGUUGGUGGGGUAAAGGCUUACCAAGGCGACGAUCCGUAGCUGGUCUGAGAGGGCGACCAGCCACACUGGGACUUGGACACGGCCCAGACUCCUACGGGACGCAGCAGUGGGGAAUUUUGGACAAUGGGGGCAACCCUGAUCCAGCCAUGCCGCGUGCGAGAAGAAGGCCUUCGGGUUGUAAACCGCUUUUGUUCGGGAAGAAAUCCUCUGGGCUAAUACCCCGGGGGGAUGACGGUACCGGAAGAAUAAGCACCGGCUAACUACGUG